rnacentral:misc_RNA from 1 species
GAUAAGAACGUAGCGAAAUGCGAUAAGUAAUGUGAAUUGCAGAAUUCAGUGAAUCAUCGAAUCUUUGAACGCACCUUGCACCCUUUGGUAUUCCGAAGGGUAUGCUCGUUUGAGUGUCAUUGUACUCUCACACUUCUAAUUCCUUUCGGGAUUGGGAGCGGUGGACUUGGGUGUUGCUGCUUUAGUUGUGGCUCACCUCAAAUAAGUUAGUGCAACUCUUGGUUGGACAUAGUACGGCGUGAUAAGUGUCUUCGCCGGCGCCUCUGUAAGGAGGGUGGCCGAUCGGGAGCUCUGUGCUUCAAACCGUCUUCGGACAAUCUUUGACAACUUGACCUCAAAUCGAGUAGGACUACCCGCUGAACUUAAGCAUAUCAAUAAGCGGAGGA